GAUGAACGCUGGCGGCGUGCUUAACACAUGCAAGUCGAACGGUGAAAGCGGAGCUUGCUCUGCUGGACCAGUGGCGAACGGGUGAGUACCACGUGAGCAAUCUGCCUUUAACUCUGGGAAAGGCGUUGGAAACACCGCUUAAUACCGGAAACGAGCUGCGAGGGCAUCUUCAGACGCUGGAAAGAACUUGGGUCAAGGAUGAGCUCGCGGCCUAUCAGCUAGUUGGGGAGGUAAUGGCUCACCAAGGCGUCGACGGGUAGCCGGCCUGAGAGGGUGACCGGCCACACUGGGACUGAGACACGGCCCAGACUCCUACGGGAGGCAGCAGUGGGGAAUAUUGCACAAUGGGCGCAAGCCUGAUGCAGCAACGCCGCGUGAGGGACGACGGCCUUCGGGUUGUAAACCUCUUUUAGCAGGGAAGAAGCGAAAGUGACGAUACCUGCAGAAAAAGCACCGGCUAACUACGUGCCAGCAGCCGCGGUAAGAC
rnacentral:rRNA from 1 species